rfam:Myotis davidii contig167025, whole genome shotgun sequence.
GGCGGUUCUUGGCGCAACACCCCAGAAUCGGGCUCCCUCCUCUCUAGUUCUGGGUGCAUCACCGGAGAACAGCA